rnacentral:tRNA from 1 species
UCUGGACGUGUUCAAGGCGAACGCGGAGGCUGUAAACCUCCCAAGGGCGGUUCGAUUCCGCCCGUCCAGA